ensembl:miRNA
AGGGGCCACUGGAUGGCUGGGUCACAGGUGGUACAAAGGAUCAGCCAUUCUUGGGCCGUUGGGCAACCACUGAGAUGAGGCUGUGUUCCACAGGUGUGAUGUUUACACUGGCCCUUCACCAGGCA